rnacentral:rRNA from 1 species
GACGAACGCUGGCGGCGUGCUUAACACAUGCAAGUCGAACGGUGAAGCGCCUUCCUUUUUGGUGGGUGUGGAUGAGUGGCGAACGGGUGAGUAACACGUGAGUAACCUGCCCCCUUCUUCUGGAUAACCGCAUGAAAGUGUGGCUAAUACGGGAUAUUCUGGGUCUGUCGCAUGAUGGGUCUGGGAAAGAUAUUGUUUCGGUGGGGGAUGGGCUCGCGGCCUAUCAGCUUGUUGGUGGGGUGAUGGCCUACCAAGGCGGUGACGGGUAGCCGGCCUGAGAGGGUGGACGGUCACACUGGGACUGAGACACGGCCCAGACUCCUACGGGAGGCAGCAGUGGGGAAUAGUGCACAAUGGGCGCAAGCCUGAUGCAGCGACGCCGCGUGAGGGAUGGAGGCCUUCGGGUUGUGAACCUCUUUCGCCAGUGAAGCAGGCCUGCCCCGUGUGUGGGUGGGUUGACGGUAGCUGGAUAAGAAGCGCCGGCUAACUACGUG